rnacentral:rRNA from 1 species
AUUGAACGCUGGCGGCAGGCCUAACACAUGCAAGUCGAACGAGUGGCGGACGGGUGAGUAAUGUCUGGGAAACUGCCUGAUGGAGGGGGAUAACUACUGGAAACGGUAGCUAAUACCGCAUACCAUCAGAUGUGCCCAGAUGGGAUUAGCUUGUGGGUGGGGUAACGGCUCACCAAGGCGACGAUCCCUAGCUGUUCUGAGAGGAUGACCGGCCAAACUGGAACUUAGAAACGGUCCAGACUCCUACGGUAGGCAGCAGUGGGGAAUAUUCCGCAAUGGGCGCAAGCCUGAUGCAGCCAUGCCGCGUGUGUGAAGAAGGCCUUCGGGUUGUAAAUUACUUUCAUCGGGGAGGCGUUACCCGCACAAUAAGCACCGGCUAACUCCGUGCCAGCAGCCGCGGUAAUAC